AGCGAACGCUGGCGGCAGGCCUAACACAUGCAAGUCGAACGAACCCUUCGGGGUUAGUGGCGGACGGGUGAGUAACACGUGGGGAACGUACCUUUAGGUUCGGAACAACACAGGGAAACUUGUGCUAAUGCCGAAUGUGCCCUUCGGGGGAAGAAUUUAUCGCCUUUAGAGCGGCCCGCGUCUGAUUAGCUUGUUGGUGAGGUAAAGGCUCACCAAGGCUUCGAUCAGUAGCUGGUCUGAGAGGAUGAUCAGCCACACUGGGACUGAGACACGGCCCAGACUCCUACGGGAGGCAGCAGUGGGGAAUCUUGCGCAAUGGGCGAAAGCCUGACGCAGCCAUGCCGCGUGAAGUGAUGAAGGUCUUAGGAUUGUAAAAUUCUUUCACCGGGGAA
rnacentral:rRNA from 1 species